rnacentral:lncRNA from 1 species
AAAGAAUCUUUGCCAAAUAAGUAAUUCAUUCUUAUGUUUAAAAACCUCCAAAACUUGUGUUUCAAACUCAAGGAGACAUAGGCCAGCCAUGGAUCUCUUUGCCAAGCUUUUGCAGUACAGAGUUCUCUUCAUUGCAGCAAUAGCUAUAUCAUUAAUCUCAGCAUUUUCUUUUACAAGCAUUCUCUCUUACUUUUUGCCACUUUUCCUCUCCACAACUGUGUUUUUGGUGGCAAUAAUUGUCAUUGGCCAAAUAUCACCAUUCCCACCUGAAUUUUGGUGUGAUGAAGAAGGCGAAGGAUUCUUGGAAUAUGUUGCAGGACGCCCUGAAGUGCUGGAAGAUUAUGAAUGACCAAGAUAAUAUUAUUGGGUUUGGAAAUUUUAUAUUUCAAGCUGGCUUGAUUUAAAGUAAUUUGGAUUGAUCCAUCUCCAUGUAUAUAUUCUAUAGGUUCAAAUCCCAUCGUAUGAUAUGUGCAAUAAUAUGUACAUGUUUAUUUGUUUAGGCAUUUAUGGAUUGUAAUUGGUGAAAAAAAUUGCAACUUAUUGCUGUUAAUCUUGGAAAGGGGCACGACACAGAAAGAAUAAUUCUACUCCUACAAAGUUGGUGUACAAAACUGGAGUGUCAAAGUGUGUUGGCAAAAUUUGGAUCCUUGAUUUCAAGUGAUUUAAAAAUUUGUUUUUGAAAUG